AGGAGCCGGAUGAGGCGAAAGUUUCAAGUCCGGUUUUGUAGACGAGCGGCUGUCGUGAGAUGGUCGCUUAGUUUAAC
rnacentral:ncRNA from 2 species